UCCAUUUUAAACCGUGGCUCAGUCGCUUGUUCACAAUCAACAGCAGAAUAUUUAGUAGGUACUGAAAGUGACCAUAAGUAAACCGAGUUUCGGAGUUUAGUGAGGAAAUUAGCUUCGUUGCUGUGCAUCUGGAUAAAUUGUACGGUGUAUUAAUUUCUCCGCUCGUAUAUUUUAAUGUGAUUCGUCGCGAUUAAGGAGUUGUGGAUGGGAACAAGUUUGAAGCCGGUGUGGAAGACACAGGUCCCUCCAAGGAGUAGCCGUCGAAUGGCCAAACAACAGUGCAGUUAGUGUAAAGCAGAGCUCGACAACGUCGGCGUUCAUCGUCUUCGCCAAGAAGUAGUGAAGCGUGGAAAGAUUCGGAUGGUUUGGGUUCGGAGUACAGGAGUGUUCGUGUGACGACAAGAAGUGAUAAACAACCAACCGAUCCGGUUAACGUUGACGGGAGAGUGAAUUGCUUGCUUGUUUGCUUGCAGGGGAAAGAAAGAAUCGAGCAGAGUUUCCAUGCUAUAGGUGGAAUGAAAUUUGUCUUCAUUCUGAUAAGUGAUUACGUUCUGUGAAGUCUCACUUAGGAUUGCUACCGAUAGAGUAUGAAUUGGACGGAAUAAGCAGAAGAGUGGCACCCAGUGAAUGCUAAUUUGCUUGUUCGGGCAGCCGACGAAGAAAGAAGCGGAUAUCCUGCGACGCGACCGUCCGAGUGAAUCUCGCACUCCCGGAAGAGGCAACAGUGUGUGGUGAAUUGGCCAGUCAGUGGCCCAUCAAUUAUCAUCAGCGUGUGUCGUCAUCAUCAUAGCCAUAGAAUAAUAAUAGCAAAAGUGUAUGUGAUAGUGUAGUUUGGGUCCAUCACUUGGAGCUGUUCUCGUCUCCUCUGUACCGGAAUACCUGCCUUCCUAUCUUCCCUACUAUUUUCGAUCUGGCAUGUUAGUGGAUUAACUCAAUCAGGAAUACAAUCGAGAACUCUCAAUGGAAGAGUGGUGCUUGAAAACGGCAGAUCAUUUAGGAUACUAAUUAAAACAUCCUCGACACUCGGGCCGAGGUCGACCGGACUGAUUUCACCCAGUAGCUGCUAUUCUGCC